rnacentral:misc_RNA from 1 species
GAUGAAGAACGUAGCGAAAUGCGAUAAGUAAUGUGAAUUGCAGAAUUCAGUGAAUCAUCGAAUCUUUGAACGCACAUUGCGCCCGCCAGCAUUCUGGCGGGCAUGCCUGUUCGAGCGUCAUUUCAACCCUCGAGCCCGACUUCCUUGCGGAGGACGGCUCGGCGUUGGGGGACGGCACACUCCCCCCGGCUCGCCGGGGACGCCGCCCCCGAAAUUCAGUGGCGGCCCUCGGAGGCGACCUCUGCGUAGUAACUCAACCUCGCAAAGGGAAGCUCCGAGCGGCCACGCCGUGAAACCCCAACUAUAUCAAGGUUGACCUCGAAUCAGGUAGGUCUACCCGCUGAACUUAAGCAUAUCAAUAAGCGGAGGA